CUGACCACCGGUGACACCUGGUAGCAUAUGAGUCAUGCACAGUGAAUACCAUGUGUCUGGAACUCUGAGGUUCAC